UUGGAGCUAAAUCAAAUGGCCGGAAAUCCCUCCCUACCGCGGCCCCCUCCCUCUCCUCCUCCCCUCCCCUCAUCACAAGAUAAGAGAAGAGAAGAGGGAGAUUGAUCGAUCGAGCGAGCGAGCAGGUCAGGAGGCGGCUCAGAUUCGCCAUGGCCACCCAUGACCUCGACGGAGGUCGGCAAUCGCUCGCCCGUGCACCGGGACAAGUCUUCCAACGACGUGGUCGUCAAGGGCCUUGACGGCAUCCCUGCUUCCCCCCAUCUGCUUCUGCUCUGUUGUGCUCGUUCGUGCGGCCGCCAAGGGCAACCCACGCAUGGAGCUUCCUCCGACUUCUCUGUUAGUAGGCAGGUCGUGGCACGCGUCAGACAUCACCAGUGUCAGACAUCACCAACUCCUCAUCGGCUUCCCCUGCCCGCACCUCUGCCCUCUCAUGUCUACCCUGAGGGGACUCAGAUCGUCAUCCCCUGGUUCAAGAGGCCCAUCAUCUAUGAUGUCCGCGCGUGACCCAACCUCGUCGAGAGAACCUCCAGGAGCUGGGAUCUCCAGAUGACUUGUGGUGAACAAGAGCAAGGCCAAGAAAGACUCCAACAAGCCCAAGCGCCCCCUAAGCGCCGUCUUAGUCCUCAUGUAGAGGCUGAUGGAGAGACGGAGGCGCACCCUGAUUUGCUCAUGCAAGCCCAAAUAGGGAUCUCACCGUGGCAACGCCACAGCCGCGGCUCGAGCUAGAUCACCAUGGCGACGCACAUCACAAGACCCCGCUGUUGGAUUCAUUUCUCUGCAGGUCACACUGAUGUUUUGCUGUGGUUGAUAAACCUGAGACUUCUUUCUAUUCUUCAAGGCGGUUUUGUUUAGGCCAGCCAUGGAGCAGAAAGAACAAACAUCGCUACUCAGCAUUAGGGAAG